rnacentral:rRNA from 1 species
UACGGAGGGUGCAAGCGUUAUCCGGAUUCACUGGGUUUAAAGGGUGCGUAGGCGGCUAUUUAAGUCAGUGGUGAAAGCCCGCAGCUUAACUGUGGAAUUGCCAUUGAAACUGAGUAGCUCGAAUCUGGUUGAAGUGGGCGGAAUACAUCAUGUAGCGGUGAAAUGCAUAGAUAUGAUGUAGAACACCAAUUGCGAAGGCAGCUCACUAAGCCAAUAUUGACGCUGAGGCACGAAAGCGUGGGGAGCAAAC